rnacentral:rRNA from 1 species
ACCGGUCCGCCCUCUGGGUGAGUAUCUGGCUCGGCCUGGGCAUCUUCUUGGAGAACGUGUCUGCACUUGACUGUGUGGUGCGGUAUCCAGGACUUUUACUUUGAGGAAAUUAAAGUGUUUCAAGCAGGCUUACGCCUUGAAUACAUUAGCAUGGAAUAAUAAGAUAGGACCUCGGUUCUAUUUUGUUGGUUUCUAGAGCUGAGGUAAUGAUUAAUAGGGAUAGUUGGGGGCAUUCGUAUUUAACUGUCAGAGGUGAAAUUCUUGGAUUUGUUGAAGACGGACUACUGCGAAAGCAUUUGCCAAGGAUGUUU